rnacentral:rRNA from 1 species
ACGGGCAGACUAGAGUGCGGUAGGGGAGAUUGGAAUUCCUGGUGUAGCGGUGGAAUGCGCAGAUAUCAGGAGGAACACCGAUGGCGAAGGCAGAUCUCUGGGCCGUAACUGACGCUGAGGAGCGAAAGGGUGGGGAGCAAACAGGCUUAGAUACCCUGGUAGUCCACCCCGUAAACGUUGGGAACUAGUUGUGGGGUCCAUUCCACGGAUUCCGUGACGCAGCUAACGCAUUAAGUUCCCCGCCUGGGGAGUACGGCCGCAAGGCUAAAACUCAAAGGAAUUGACGGGGACCCGCACAAGCGGCGGAGCAUGCGGAUUAAUUCGAUGCAACGCGAAGAACCUUACCAAGGCUUGACAUAUACGAGAACGCUGCAGAAAUGUAGAACUCUUUGGACACUCGUAAACAGGUGGUGCAUGGUUGUCGUCAGCUCGUGUCGUGAGAUGUUGGGUUAAGUCCCGCAACGAGCGCAACCCUCGUUCUAUGUUGCCAGCACGUAAUGGUGGGAACUCAUGGGAUACUGCCGGGGUCAACUCGGAGGAAGGUGGGGAUGACGUCAAAUCAUCAUGCCCCUUAUGUCUUGGGCUUCACGCAUGCUACAAUGGCCGGUACAAAGGGCUGCAAUACCGCAAGGUGGAGCGAAUCCCAAAAAGCCGGUCCCAGUUCGGAUUGAGGUCUGCAACUCGACCUCAUGAAGUCGGAGUCGCUAGUAAUCGCAGAUCAGCAACGCUGCGGUGAAUACGUUCCCGGGUCUUGUACACACCGCCCGUCAAGUCAUGAAAGUCGGUAACACCUGAAGCC